UCCGGUGUCGUUCAACGGCAGGACGGGCGGCUGUUAACCGCCUAAUCGGGGUUCGAAUCCCUGCACCGGAG
rnacentral:tRNA from 1 species